AGCUCUAGCUUCGCGUCAGGUUCCUCGAAAGAGGAUGAAAAGGGAACGAGGUUGAAGACCUCGGCUGCCCCCGCAACUGUAAGCGGCGAGCUUCGCGUCACAUGCCACUGGGCCCAAAAGGCCUGGGAAGGCGACGCCCAGAAGCAUUGACCCGUGAGCCAGGAGACCUGCCCGGCGCAGUCGUUCAUC
rnacentral:ncRNA from 2 species